AAAGUCCAAAACUAUUUGCUUCCUCCAGACAUGCGACCGUCCUUCUCUGUGAGUCUUGAGCCCGGUCUGGAGCGAGGCGUCCCCUGGGGUCGUGACCUCUUCACCUUUGUGACUUCAGCAGCAGGUCACAUGAUGCGGACUCUUCAAAAGCCCCGGAAGAGCCGUCCAUCCAAGCGGCAGGUCAACCACCGGCGGUUCCUGCACAACAUGAUCCAGAGGAAAUUUGCAGAUAUAGAAGCAGCGAACCAUCGUCUGGCGUCGGCCCUUUACGUUAAGGACAUACAGGAGGCUCAGGAGCCGCAGGGCUCCACGUCCCAGAGCGAUUCUCUGCAGGAUCCUGAUCAGAACGGAGGUCAAACAGAUGCAAAGGGCAUCUCAAGGUCGAGGAGUGACGCUUCUGACGCCAGGGAACCAAAGGAGCUGGAUGAUAAACAAAAAAAAUCCACCAGCAGCCAAAACAAAAUGAGACAAACCAAUGAAAAAAGAAGAAACAAAGCUGCUGAGUUCUCAAAGGUUGUUCAGGAGGCAGAGCUCCUUCAGUCUGAACAUCCCAAUUACCAAAACCAAAUGAAUCCAAUGAACAACACCCCUGAAAACAAACACCCAAAUUUUAUUGUUCUCACCCAAAACGAGGACGAUUCUCCUCCUUUCUCCCCAGAGCUUUCUCCGCUGUCUCUUGACUCUUGUGAUUUCUCAGCUCAGUUGUUGACGGAUCUCUCAACCAACACAGAACAAGAAACCAUCCGUGACAUAACCGAGCUCUUCACGGACUCAGUGGGUCACAUGGAUGUAGAGUCCUACUUUGAAACCAUCUGUCCACGCCGGGUGGAAGACAUUAUUCUGUCUGGCAACUUUACAGGGUUGGAGGAGAACAUGCAGCCCGAUGAAGUGGAGCCCGAAUGCAGCUUUGGCUUCAGCUGUGAAGAAGAUCGAGGAGGAACCGCCCAUUACGUCCGGCGUAACCCGGGAAACUCCCGUCAACUGAGACAAAGUGAAUACAAAGCGAGUACCUCCAUCUACAGCGUCGCUGAGCUGCAGACUCACCCGGAGGGGAGCUGCUGCAUCCUGGGAAACGACCUGAACGUCGCACCGUUUGAAGGCGUGGCUCAGUCUUUCCCCGUUCCUCCUCCUCAGCAGGAGCGACGCUCCGUACCGACGCCUCCUCAUGAGGACGACUGGCUGUUUCCUGACAUCCUGAAGGACAGGCAGCUCCCUUACUGCUGAAUUCACACGUUUACGGAGUUUCAUUAUGCUGACGUACAUAUUUAAACGUGAACAUUUCUGCAUGUUUUUAAACUUUUUACUGAUUCUACAAAAAGCUCAAGUGCUUCAAAGAAAACAACCCAACCAGUUUAAAGUUUUUUUUUUGUGUCUGGAAAAUGAGCCGUUUCAAAAACUUCUUGAGUCACAAUCGGUGGGCACUGUACCGUUACCUAGCAACCCCACACUGGAAAUACUUCAGCAACAACUGAGAUAACUGCCUCCAUUCAAGGGGAUGCCACAAUACUUCAAUGGGAAAUAACUCCAGACUUUGACUACACCACUUCAAAGCAGCUGGCUUGCUUAUUUUAGUUGUUCAGAGAGGAAUUACUGGUGAGCAUCAGAUCAUUUUCUUGCGCUUCAGAUAAAAAAAACUGAUGCCAAAACAUUUUCCAGAGACAAAUUAAAGUUUCCAUUACGGUAAUUACAGGAAGUUGUCCUGAAGAGCAAAGCGCCUCACCACCAUG